AGGAAGAGGAAGUGAUGAACAACUCUGCAGAGUCCUGUUGCUGUCAUUCUGGACUGCAAAUCCCAGAGACCUCAGGGGCAGCAGGAAGAGGAAGUGAACAUCCAGCCAGAGAGCCAGAUUCUAGUCUCCCCUGGCUUCUGGCUUGAGCCACUGCAGGCAUGUGGCAGCAUUUCCUGAAUCCAAGUCUUGCUUUACCCGGAUGGCAAUCCCGUUCCAGGACCGCUAACACCAAGCAAAUAUCUCAGACGAUCUCCUUGGACGGUUAGCCAAAUUCAGAAUUGACUCAUUCUGUUUCUCCAUCUCGGGACGCUACACCCGGCGAUUCCUUUGACUGCUGGUAUAAAAGCGGAUGCGAUGACUCCGGUCUGCAAGUUCUCUGCUGUUUGCAGUCAUGUUUACUCAUUCCAGAUUACAGCCAAGUACUGCUUAUUUUUCUACCAAAGUAGUUAUUUUUAAUGAAUACCACUAUCAAAAUAUCACGGUUGUGCAGGUGGACACUGGAUUAGACAGUCCUUCUGCUAAUUAGGGAUAAUGAUGGUUUUGAAAGAAAGCCUGACAUCACAGCCGCUUGGCUGUAAUUAGCUCAACCUUUGGAGACUCAGCCUGGCUACUGAUCUUUAGGAUCUUGCUUGGAUUAUCCGUUUAUUAACGUUGUCAAAUUAGCUUGUGAGGAAACUGUUGUGAUACUGCGUAACGAAUCUUGUGACCUUGGCAAGAACUCCGCGUACCGGCGGUGACAAUUAUUAGAGACCAAAAAAUGGAGCAUGGACUGGUGUAUAUAUAAGAAUAUGUUAUCAGAGUUAAUCAUAAUUUGAGUGGGUAGGACAAAAGUCUCUCCAUGACGUAAUCUACCUGGAAAGUCAUGAUGUAUUACAAUACAGCAUGACUAAAAUAUUGCACGAAGCACAAGAACCCCUGACGUGCUGGGAAUAGUGCUUGGGGGACGGGAGGGAGGGGAUAUUAGCCCCAAAAGGUGCCGCCUUUUCACAUUUUCUGAAAGGCAACAAUCAAUGCAGAUUUGAUUCAAGCUCCAGAUUCAGGCUUUGAUUCAAGUUCCAGGAAAAAAAGACUGGAGUUUGAUAUUUGGGCAUCAAUGAAAUGAAGCAUGACAGCCAAAGAAAGUACAUCAGCUCCUCGAGCUGGUUUAAAUCCAUGUCUUUGCCAGCAAGAGGCAGCUGAUAGCCCUGGAGAUCUUCCUAGUUUCUGAGCCUGGUGCUGGGAAAAACAAACACGGGGGGAAAAAGUCUGUAGCUCAGGCCUGGAGCGUGUUGUGUCAUGCUCAGGGCACGGUACAUCCCACACCUUGAUGGAGCUGGGCAGCGAACCCAGGAGUCCUGACUGCAUGGUUUGGGACCACAUUUAUCCCUUUUAGAGGAUGCACUCAAGAGGCCUUAAUUGAAGGCUUAUCCUUGCUGCUAAAAAUGCCAUGUAGUUUAUCUCCGCUCCUAAGUACUUGGUACUCUGAGAUUAAAAAAGAAAAAACUAAAAAAAUGCAGUCCUUU